CCUACGGGGGGCAGCAGUGAGGAAUAUUGGUCAAUGGACGAGAGUCUGAACCAGCCAAGUAGCGUGAAGGAUGACUGCCCUAUGGGUUGUAAACUUCUUUUAUAUGGGAAUAAAAUGUUCCACGUGUGGGAUUUUGUAUGUACCAUAUGAAUAAGGAUCGGCUAACUCCGUGCCAGCAGCCGCGGUAAUACGGAGGAUCCGAGCGUUAUCCGGAUUUAUUGGGUUUAAAGGGAGCGUAGGUGGAUUGUUAAGUCAGUUGUGAAAGUUUGCGGGUCAACCGUAAAAUUGCAGUUGAAACUGGCAGUCUUGAGUACAGUAGAGGUGGGCGGAAUUCGUGGUGUAGCGGUGAAAUGCUUAGAUGUCACGAAGAACUCCGAUUGCGAAGGCAGUUCACUGGACUGCAACUGACACUGAGGCUCGAAAGUGUGGGUAUCAAACAGGAUUAGAUACCCCGGUAGUC
rnacentral:rRNA from 1 species